rnacentral:rRNA from 1 species
UACGAACCGUCCAAACGUUAUUCGGAUUCAUUGGGCUUAAAGGGUACGUAGGCGGCGCUAUCAGUCGGGUGUGAAAGCCCUCGGCUCAACCGAGGAACUGCGCCCGAUACUGUAGUGCUUGAGGGAGACAGAGGUAAGCGGAACUGAUGGUGGAGCGGUGAAAUGCGUUGAUAUCAUCAGGAACACCGGUGGCGAAAGCGGCUUACUGGGUCUCUUCUGACGCUGAGGUACGAAAGCUAGGGGAGCGAACAGG